UACGGGGGAUGCAAGCGUUAUCCGGAAUUAUUGGGCGUAAAGCGUCCGUAGGUGGUUUUAAAAGUCUGUUGUCAAAUCGCGAGGCUUAACCUCGUACAGGCAGUGGAAACUAUAAGACUAGAGUGCGGUAGGGGUAGAGGGAAUUUCCAGUGUAGCGGUGAAAUGCGUAGAUAUUGGAAAGAACACCGGUGGCGAAGGCGCUCUACUGGGCCUGCACUGACACUGAGGGACGAAAGCUAGGGGAGCGAAAGGG
rnacentral:rRNA from 1 species